rnacentral:tRNA from 1 species
GCCGGAGUGGCGGAAUUGGCAGACGCGCUGGAUUCAAAAUCCAGUGACCGCAAGGUCGUGGGGGUUCAAGUCCCCCCUCCGGUAC